UCUAUUGUUCUUGGGCCAGCUGUCGCCUCUCAUGCCAGCGCCACUAUGACUGUUCAUGCCACAAGCACCUUAGUGACCUGAUGUUGCAGAAAUUUGUGUCACUGCAUCACCAGCAAAGUAUCAAGAAAAAGAAGUCUGCACUAUACUGUUACAAUGGGACAACAACACAGGUGCUAUGGGUAUCUGGAAGUUAUGAUAUUCUUUAUUCGUAUUAGAAAUUCCAGAUACAAAGACACUGAAAUAAAAAAAAAAUUUAGACAAUUUUUUUUUCAGACAACUUGUAGAAUGUCUGUGCUGUAUUUUGUAUUAUGAUCAUAGAAAAACUAAAUUUGAUUUCAGUGAAGAAGAAACUUGUCCUUGUUGGUUUUUACACAUUUGAAUUCACUCCUAAAUUUUUUAUCAUGUGCAGGUGUGGUCAAAAGUUCCCAGGUGAGGCUGCCACAAAAUUAGUUAGAAUGGUAGCCAGGAAAACUUUGAAGGACUUUGUACUUGCAGAAAAUAAAUCUGCUUAUUACAAAUGCCUCAA